GGUUUUAUAGUUUAAAUUUAAAACAUUAGAUUGCAAUUCUAAAAAUGAAUAAUUUCUAAAGCUU
rnacentral:tRNA from 1 species